GCAGUCUCUUUGCUCUCAGUCUUGGCUCCAGACAGGGCCAACUGGUGGGACCCCCUGAAACAAGGCAGAAGAAGGCACCGUUGGAUGAGGAGCGUUCCCAGGAUAGGGCCAGGCGCUUUAGGAGACCUGGAGUAAACCCACAAAGCCCCAUCUGUAGGGAAGGCAGACCUUGGGGUUACCUCACAAUGGUAACAAAGAGCCUGGGAGAGUGUGAAGAGAGAACGCCUCCUGCUGUCACUGAAAAAGCCCUGCUAUAGGAGCCCAAAGGGAAGGGCUGAGACCAGCUCUGCCACCGACCAGCAAGUCCCUUUCCAUCUGGGCUUCGGUUUCUCACCCAGGAAACGAAUGGGGGAGGAAAUUCAUCUCUCAGGUCUUCCAGCGCUGUGAGUCCUUCUCUCCGCUUCAGCUACAUUCCUCCUUCCAAGAUGACUGGGUGGGUCCUAGGCCAGCCAGCAAAUCAUUAUAUAUCACACGUUAGAGCUUCUUUGAGAUGGUCGGCUGCAACCUAUUCAUUUUACAUAUGAGAAACUGAACCUCAGAGAGACAAAGGUUUUCGUUCAAGGUCGCACUUGGUAACAAGCGUGAGAACCCCCCGGGUCUCCUGUGACCCCUUACUUGGACUCUACGGUUCUGUGAUCACAAUUUUCCAUAUGAAGCUAAGCUCCUGGAGCUCAGGGACCACACUGCCUGGAGCUGGUGGGUUCCUAGCACCCAGCAGAGCACCCAGAGCCUGGCUACUCCCUCAGUGUUUGCAGCAAGAAGGAAGAAGGGAAGAACAGACUGUUGGAGCAACUGCGAGGACUCUCUGUGUGAGUGGAGGAGAAGCCUGUUUAUCCAUCCUUCCAUGCUCUUGGCCAUCUGUCCUUCCUAAGGAGCAGAGCCUGUGUCCCUCCAGACAGGCAAAGAGAAGUGUAGAGAAGUUGUGUUAGUGGCGAAGAUAAUGCUCCUUGAAGAGAAUGCUUUGAAUCUUCAGCAUGUUCUUUAUGGGUCCAUUCAUUCAACAUGAUUGAGCACCUGGGCAUUGUGGGGCUACAGCAAUGAACAUGAGACGUCAUCACGUCCCUGCUCUGAGGCUCUCACAGCCUAGGGAGGAGGAGAUGUACACACAGAACUGAACUCCAGAGAGAAGAGCAUGAGACAAGUCAGUGUUCUACAAGCAUUCAGACAGGAAAGUGUUCUUUCCAUAUGGUGACAAUGAGGAAUCCUUGUGUUAGGGGGGCAUCUGAGCUAGUCCUUGGAGAAAUGAUGUUGCCUGUGAGGACACGCGUAAAGCAUUACCUGCCUCCACUGAAGAAGACAGAUCGAGCCUUCACCAGCAGAAUCAAAGACUCCCAGGUCUGAUAUUGACCUGGGUCAGCAGAACAUUGUGGAAACGAGCACUGGUUUUGGAGUCAGACAGAACUGAGUUCAAAUCCCAGCUCUGCCACUUCCUAGCUGUGUAACCUGGGACAAGUUACUGGACCUGCCUUAGCCUCAAUUUUCUCAUGUGUCAAAAGGGGAUUAUAAUAAUAUUUAGCUCAGAUGAUUGGUGUUAAGGAUCAAUUGAGAUAAUCCAUGCAAAGCAUUUAACACAGUGCCUGGCACAUAGUAAUUGUUCAAUAAAAGGUUAGCUAAUUCUAGCGUGGAUCAGACUAGCUGCCCAGACCGUGAGCAACCUGAGGUCCAUGACCAGGCCUCCUUUCCUCUUGAUCCUCCCAAUCCUAACACAGAGCCUGGGCACAAGAGGCUUGGUAACGGUUUGCAAAAUGAAUAAAUAAACAGAGGAGGCAUCCUCUUUAUCAAUCUCUUAAAUUGAACACGAAGGAAGAUUUUUUGAGAGCGAGUAUGGUUGAAGCUUAGAAGGGGCUUCUAUAGAAGGCUGUGUUAUUGCCAAAGGUCUUUUAAGAAGAUAAAU
rnacentral:lncRNA from 1 species